UACAGAGGGUGCGAGCGUUGUUCGGAAUUAUUGGGCGUAAAGGGCGCGUAGGCGGUGCGGUAAGUCACCUGUGAAAUCUCCUGGCUCAACUGGGAGCUUGCAGGCGAAACUGCCGUGCUGGAGUGUGGGAGAGGUGCGUGGAAUUCCUGGUGUAGCGGUGAAAUGCGUAGAUAUCGGAAGGAACAUCAGUGGCGAAAGCGGCUUCCUGGUCCAGCACCGACGUUCAGGCACGAAAGCGUGGGGAGCAAACAGG
rnacentral:rRNA from 1 species